CAGUAGCCACGGGAAUACAGAGGGUGCGAGCGUUAAUCGGAUUUACUGGGCGUAAAGCGUGCGUAGGCGGCUUCUUAAGUCGGAUGUGAAAUCCCUGAGCUUAACUUAGGAAUUGCAUUCGAUACUGGUAAGCUAGAGUAUGGGAGAGGAUGGUAGAAUUCCAGGUGUAGCGGUGAAAUGCGUAGAGAUCUGGAGGAAUACCGAUGGCGAAGGCAGCCAUCUGGCCUAAUACUGACGCUGAGGUACGAAAGCAUGGGGAGCAAACAGGAUUAGAUACCCCCGUAGUCCCUGUCUCUUAUAC
rnacentral:rRNA from 1 species